UUAAUUGAAGAGUUUGAUCAUGGCUCAGAUUGAACGCUGGCGGCAGGCCUAACACAUGCAAGUCGAGCGGCAGCACAGAGGAACUUGUUCCUUGGGUGGCGAGCGGCGGACGGGUGAGUAAUGCCUGGGAAAUUGCCCGGUAGAGGGGGGAUAACCAUUGGAAACGAUGGCUAAUACCGCAUAACCUCGCAAGAGCAAAGCA
rnacentral:rRNA from 1 species